rnacentral:rRNA from 1 species
ACGCUGACAGAAUGCUUAACACAUGCAAGUCUUUGGCGAAGCUGUGCUUGCACAGCCUAGCCAAGGCGGACGGGUGAGUAACGCGUAAGGAACUUGCCCUGCAGUCAGGGAUAACAGACGGAAACGACUGAUAAGACCUGGUAAGGUCAGGCGGACUCAUGUCCAGCCUGAUGAAAAGAGAUGCUGCAGGAGAGCCUUGCGUCCUAUUAGCUUGUUGGUGGGGUAACGGCCCACCAAGGCGAUGAUAGGUAGCCGGCCUGAGAGGGUGGACGGCCACAAGGGGACUGAGAUACGGCCCUUACUCCUACGGGAGGCAGCAGUGGGGAAUAUUGGACAAUGGGGGCAACCCUGAUCCAGCAAUUCUGUGUGCACGAUGAAGGUUUUCGGAUUGUAAAGUGCUUUCAGCAGGGAAGAAAAAAAUGACGGUACCUGCAGAAGAAGCGACGGCUAAAUACGUGCCAGCAGCCGCGGUAAUACGUAUGUCGCAAGCGUUAUCCGGAAUUAUUGGGCAUAAAGGGCAUCUAGGCGGCCAGAUAAGUCUGGGGUGAAAACUUGCGGCUCAACCGCAAGCCUGCCCUGGAAACUAUGUGGCUAGAGUACUGGAGAGGUGGACGGAACUGCACGAGUAGAGGUGAAAUUCGUAGAUAUGUGCAGGAAUGCCGAUGAUGAAGAUAGUUCACUGGACGGUAACUGACGCUGAAGUGCGAAAGCUAGGGGAGCAAACAGGAUUAGAUACCCUGGUAGUCCUAGCUGUAAACGAUGAUUACUGGGUGUGGGCAUGAAGAGUGUCCGUGCCGAAGCUAAUGCGAUAAGUAAUCCGCCUGGGGAGUACGGCCGCAAGGCUGAAACUCAAAGGAAUUGACGGGGACCCGCACAAGCGGUGGAGCAUGUGGUUUAAUUCGACGCAACGCGAG